AUUCAAUGUCUGGAGCAAGCUUUCUGCACUCCACUGCCGGUGCUUUCUGGCUUCAAAAGCAGCUUCGAGACUGAGGAAUAGUAGACAGGAUUAGAAUAAGGCCCGGGAGUUCUACAACUCUGCUGAAUUCAAAAGGACCAUGAUCUUGGUCAGCUAAACCACACCCGAUGGCCAAGGGGCAGAGGAAAAGAUGGCAGAGUAGAGACUCUUGGACUUACUCAUUUGGAUUUUGGAGUUUUACCUGACUUGGUCAAGCCUCAUGCCAGAUCCAGGCUGAGGAGGAAGAGGAAGAGGAGGGGUUGGUCUUGCUGUCUCAAGAGUAGCAGAAGCAGAAGAAAAUCCAAGUUGGUCAAAGGAAGAGGAGGAUCAAUGGCCUUUUUUCCUCCCCCCAACCUUUUUUUUUUUUUUUUUUUUUAAACAAAGAAGCAAAGUGAGAACAUUAAGCCCGAAAGAGAACUGUGUUCAUUGCAGGACUUUUUGAGGUCUGGUUAAGCCAUUUAUAUAAAGAAAUUACACAGUUCCUCUUUGGUAACCUCAAUCCUGAAAGUUAGUGUGACAGGCCUACAGCUUUUUGUUCU
rnacentral:lncRNA from 1 species